rnacentral:rRNA from 1 species
GUAGGGUGCGAGCGUUGUCCGGAAUUAUUGGGCGUAAAGAGCUCGUAGGCGGUCUGUCGCGUCUGCUGUGAAAACCCGAGGCUCAACCUCGGGCCUGCAGUGGGUACGGGCAGACUAGAGUGCGGUAGGGGAGAAUGGAAUUCCUGGUGUAGCGGUGGAAUGCGCAGAUAUCAGGAGGAACACCGAUGGCGAAGGCAGUUCUCUGGGCCGUAACUGACGCUGAGGAGCGAAAGCGUGGGGGGAGCGAACAGGAUUAGAUACCCUGGUAGUCCACGCCGUAAACGUUGGGCGCUAGAUGUGGGGACCCAUUCCCACGGUUUCCGUGUCGCAGCUAACGCAUUAAGCGCCCCCCGCCUGGGAGUACGGCCGCAAGGCUA